rnacentral:rRNA from 1 species
CACUCCUGCGGGAGGCAGCAGUGGGGAAUAUUGGACAAUGGGCGCAAGCCUGAUCCAGCCAUGCCGCGUGAGUGAUGAAGGCCCUAGGGUUGUAAAGCUCUUUCACCGGUGAAGAUAAUGACGGUAACCGGAGAAGAAGCCCCGGCUAACUUCGUGCCAGCAGCCGCGGUAAUACGAAGGGGGCUAGCGUUGUUCGGAUUUACUGGGCGUAAAGCGCACGUAGGCGGACUAUUAAGUCAGGGGUGAAAUCCCGGGGCUCAACCCCGGAACUGCCUUUGAUACUGGUAGUCUUGAGUUCGAGAGAGGUGAGUGGAAUUCCGAGUGUAGAGGUGAAAUUCGUAGAUAUUCGGAGGAACACCAGUGGCGAAGGCGGCUCACUGGCUCGAUACUGACGCUGAGGUGCGAAAGCGUGGGGAGCAAACAGGAUUAGAUACCCCGGUAGUCCCAUG